CCCUCUCGCAACCAGCAGUUUCGCUCCCCUCUCGCAACCAGCAGCCGUCCGCCACGCCCUUCCCGGCCUUCGCCGCCGCCGCCCUUCUCGGCCGCCGCCUGCCGCUCGCCCACGCCCUUUCUCGGCCGCCGCCCCACGCCGCCCGCCGCUCGCCCACGCCCUUCACGCCCCGCCGCCCAGGCCCUUCUCGGCCUCGCCGGCGGGGCGGCCCUUCACGCCUCGCCGUCCCCCCUUCACGCCGGCGGGCCACGCCCCCGACGGCCGAGCGGCCGAGCGGCACCUCCGGCGCAGGGGGGCCGGGCCGCAGCAGCACGCCCACUGCCGGCGCUCCCCUGGUCAAUACAAGAUUCAGUGCCGGCGCAGCAGUACAAGAUUCGCAGUACUCCGAAGAUGGACAAUAAUAAACCACGCGCUUCUCUGUCGGGAUCGCACCCUGCUUGUGAUUACCUUCAUCAUCGUCACUAAUUUUGAAAAUUUUCAAUACUAACAAGUUCAACAACCAUUGAGGAAGAAUGGUACUGUAGCGAGGAAUUCCUGAGCAUAUAUUCUACCCUGCUUAGAAGAUCUUCACAACUCUCUAUGCCCUUCUAUGUUGCAAGAUCUGAGGAAUUUGAUUGGAGUGCUUCACAUGGUGGCCCUUCGAUUUCUCCAACUUUGGCAUAAUUGCAUUGGAAUUAUUUCUGAUUAAGUAUUAGCUCCUGGAUUACUCCUAUGGUAAUGUCUCUUAAUCCGGAUUGCACACACUGAUUCUACAAUUCCCCUGAUUUUCUUUAACUAAUUCUACAUUUUCAGCCUCAAGGUGGAUUAUGAUAAUUUACUGUUUUGUCUUUGUACUUGGAAUAUUUGCAUUGAAGUUAUCCCUGCGUCAAAGAUUCCAUACGGAUCUGAAGAACUCUAAAUUGUUAUGGUAUUCACAUUGCUGCUGCUGCUGAAUGUGUUGUGCUUCUCACCACUCAUGUUCAUUCUUGUGUUAUGCCCAUUAGGAAAUAUAAGGUGCUGAACUGGUCUUUUUGGUGCGUGGCUGGUCGUUUUGGUGUUUCUAGGGAUGCCUCUACGGCAACACAGAGGUGACAGAUUUCCGUGACAAUUCUUCUAUGAAGUGUGUGGUUCACUCCACCUAUUACAAAUGUUCGAAACCUAAAAGUCUUCGCAAACUCUCAGAAAGGAAAGAUAUAACUUCAGUUAUCUUUGGUGUUCACCAAUGUGCUAUAGCGCAGCACCACUCCAAGAUGACGAAGUAUAUUUUUCUGAACGUACCUUGUGAGUUGUUCAAGUAACCUAUAUCAUGCUCAUGCGAGGCUACAUGCUCACAUGAUGGAAGCAAUUCAUAGCCAGUAAAAUUUGCUCUUGUUGUUUCAGAAUUACACUUAUGCAUACUCAAUAUUGAGUGUUGUGAUGAUGGUAAGAAGUGUGAUACAGAGAACUCAUGUACUGGUAGGUGUAUGUUAGUGAAGGUGGUGUUUAAUUUGCAAAGGUGCGAAAAAAGAACAAGGAGCCUAUGGCUAAUGCUUGCACUCACAUUUUUCUCACAGGUUUUCGCUCCAUACUUGGAUAUGUUCUACCAUUGUUUGCUUGAUUAGUAUUUUCUUAGUAUAGAACAGAAUAAUGUUAUUUUCUGGUCACCUACAAUAAAAAUUAUUUCUUUUACCUGCAUUACCAUUUCUUGUUCUUCUCUCUUUAACACGAAUAUGCAAAGAUAGAAGAUAAACACAUGAUCUACUCUACUGACUGCAGAUCGUCAUUUCUCGAUCAACAGGCCGGUACAAGAUGUUAAAAUCGGUUCCUAUUUGUCUACCAUUAUUCUUCUAUAUCAAAAGUGUCAAUUCCAUCGAUUUCUUGCUUGUAUGUAUACUGACUGCAGAUUUGCUGAAAUUUCAGAUUGCAAAACCCAAGAUCCAAUCCAUGCUUUGUCUUAGACUACUACUGGCCGUGUCCUUCCAAAUAGAUAAAUGCAUGAUGGGACUGAGGUAGCUCCUGCAGAUGCUUACUUGUUGUCAACAUUAGAUGAUGAUUUGUUUGGUAACUAUUUUGAAAAAAAAAAUCAGUCUAACAUGUACACUAUAUUCACAUGUUAGUUUUGUUUUUGAAUUGGCUCAUGGGUGUAUUUCAUAUGUGUGUUGGCCGCAUAAAGUUGCAAGUUUCUUUUUCUUACAUAAGAGGAAUAUUGAGCCCUCUCACCGAAGCCUUUGCAACAUUGUCUUGUCUGGGACGAAGCAAAUAUUCAAGCUACGCCGGUUAUUGUGUUCUUUUAGUUGGGUUCAUGUGGCUUUAAAAGAUUUUCUCUUUAAAGGUAUGUAAUUUUUGGAUCUAUAGUUAUUUUUUCUAUUGGAUCUGUAAAAAGAAUAGUUAAGGUU